rnacentral:rRNA from 1 species
AUACGGAGGGUGCAAGCGUUACUCGGAAUCACUGGGCGUAAAGCGCGCGCAGGCGGCUAUUUAAGUUGGAUGUGAAAGCCUAUGGCUCAACCAUAGAACUGCAUCCAAAACUAUUUAGCUAGAGUGUGGGAGAGGAAGAUGGAAUUAGUUGUGUAGGGGUAAAAUCCGUAGAGAUAACUAGGAAUACCAAAAGCGAAGGCAAUCUUCUGGAACACUACUGACGCUGAGGCGCGAAAGCGUGGGAAGCAAACAGGAUUAGAAACCCUAGUAGUCC